rnacentral:rRNA from 1 species
UGCCAGACUCCUACGGGAGGCAGCAGUGGGGAAUCUUGCGCAAUGGGCGGAAGCCUGACGCAGCGACGCCGCGUGCGGGACGAAGGCCUUCGGGUCGUAAACCGCUUUCAGCAGGGACGAAGCAAGUGACGGUACCUGAGGAAUAAGCCACGGCUAACUACGUGCCAGCAGCCGCGGUAAUACGUAGGUGGCAAGCGUUAUCCGGAUUUACUGGGUGUAAAGGGCGUGUAGGCGGGGACGCAAGUCAGAUGUGAAAACCACGGGCUCAACCUGUGGCCUGCAUUUGAAACUGUGUUUCUUGAGUACUGGAGAGGCAGACGGAAUUCCUAGUGUAGCGGUGAAAUGCGUAGAUAUUAGGAGGAACACCAGUGGCGAAGGCGGUCUGCUGGACAGCAACUGACGCUGAGGCGCGAAAGCGUGGGGAGCAAACAGGAUUAGAUACCCCGGUA